rnacentral:rRNA from 1 species
UACGGAGGGUGCGAGCGUUGUCCGGAAUCACUGGGCGUAAAGGGUGCGUAGGUGGUAGGGUAAGUUUGAUGUGAAAUCUCCGGGCUUAACCCGGAAACUGCAUUGAAUACUAUCUUACUCGAGGUUUGGAGGGGGACUGGAAUUCUCGGUGUAGCAGUGAAAUGCGUAGAUAUCGAGAGGAACACCAGUGGCGAAGGCGAGUCCCUGGACAACACCUGACACUGAGGCACGAAAGCUAGGGGAGCAAACAGG